rnacentral:rRNA from 1 species
UACGUAGGGUCCGAGCGUUGUCCGGAAUUACUGGGCGUAAAGCGUGCGCAGGCGGCUUUCCAAGCGCCACGUGAAAGCCCCGGGCUCAACCUGGGAAUUGCAUUCGAGACUGCUCUGCUAGGGUGCGGAAGAGGGAAGCGGAAUUUCCGGUGUAGCGGUGAAAUGCGUAGAUAUCGGAAGGAACACCAGUGGCGAAAAGCGGCUUCCUGGUCCAGCACCGACGUCAGGCACGAAAGCGUGGGGAGCAAACAGG